CCUUCCGAUGCUAAUCAUAUGUGACUUUGAGAGGCUGGUUGUAAAGUUAGAAAUGCACAGGCUUAGGAGGACAGUUACUGAUUAAUUCUAAUUGUUUUGUGUGUGUGUAUAUAUAUAUAUAUGUAUAUAUAUACCAAUUUAUACAAUACAAUCCAGGAUUCUUCCCAUAUGGUAAUUUUCUUGAUAAUAUAGUUACAUACAGAAGAAUUGACACAGAAUAAGAAUAAGAUGUCUAAAAAAAAAGAUGUUUGCACAUUCAAUUCCUUUGUUUUCUGUAAUUGUUGUAUGCACAGCCUUUAGUUUUAGCCAACCAUGAGAAACAAGGUGAGAAUGUCACCCAUCCAUUCACAGAGUUGUGACAAAAAUAGUUCAGGACAAUGCUGUCACCCAUAGUACAUUGUGCUUAGGAGUGAAGAGGUAGGAUGGAUAUAGAAAUUGAACUUUAAUAGACAGUUUUGCACAAAUCAUUUUAAUUCAGCUUGCUCUUACUCAAUAUGUUUACAAGAAAAAAUAACAUUAAAAAGCAGAUCUCACUGAUAACUUAAAAAAAGACAUUAAUAGACAAAUCCAUAAAGAAAAAAGAAGAAAUGAGACAUAUGGAAAGAUGUUCACCUUUUUGAAUAAUUGAAGAAAAGCCAAUGUAUCAUGAGAUAUGUAUCAAAAGUCUUUAAAAUGUUCAUAUCUUUUUAUGCUGUUUGUUGCUUAUGUUUUAUGACAGAUUCCCUUUUUGCAUUAUUUAUGAUGGUAAAUAAUGGAAACCAAUGCCCAACAGUAGAAUAAUGAUAUGUAAACUAUAAUACAUUUGUUCUGUUUAAGCUAAAUUCUUUAUAAACAAUAUUUACAAAGGCUGGGACAUAACAUGGGAAAAGGCUCUUCAAGUCAUAGAAAAUGACACCUAUCAAGUUGACUCAAGGGGAUAUAGAAAACCUGGCUAUCCAUGUCCAGUAGAGCUGAGGCUGGUAAACUAUGGUACCUGGGCUAAACCUAGCCUGAGGCAAAACAAGCUAUUGAAAAGACUUCCAGGACAUCCUGAUUUGUUAUUAUAAGCUAGAAAAAAAUCACUUUCUCUGUUGCAAGCAUGACAGCAACAUCAUCCUUUAAAUCCCACAGCCUAGCAGGCAGAUCUGACUGGGUGUGUGCCCAGGUGAGAGGCCAGCUCAGCAUAUGGACAAGGCAGGGAAAUACGAUCUGGGAGCCCAGGAAGCCAAGAAGAAAUGCAGUCUCUUCGAUACUCAGAAGUAGUACACAGGACGUGAUGAGAAUGGAAUGGUGCCUGCUGUCCUGUGUUGUGGGAAUCUGCAAAUCUUGUGAGUUUCUGAAAACAAAAUAUAAUAUAAUGAACUGGAAGGAGAGAUGUCCCUACACACGUGCCUGUAACGAGCUUACUUCUUGUCCUGUCUAAAGAGAAGAAUGGAUGUGGAAAACUAUGUAGAUUUUUCACUAGAUAGCUGAAAUAUGUUAAUUUUACUCUACAUUCUUAUUACUCUUCUAAUAAUGGAUUUGUUUCUCAUCUAUAGUAAACUUGGUCCACAGGAUAGAGGAACAAUUUGCGAAUUUCCUAUUUUAUAGGGAAAAAAAUAAAGAUGAUGAGUUGAUGGUUUUAGUGAAUUUAAGUGAUUCAAAUUGUCAAAUAAAAAAUAACACGAAGGGGUGUCUGGGUGGCUCAGUCAGUUCAAUGUCUG